GAUGCCCACCAAUAUUAAAGAUCUUCUAUAAAUAGCAGUUUGUGCUAAAUGCAGUGUAAUUCACUCUGUGGAAGGAAUUAGUGGUCUUACCCAUUCAAGGCUGAGAACUUACCAUCCUGUGUUCCAUAUUAGUACACUUUUUCAUUUUAUAAUCACAGAUUUCUGGUUUUGUGUCCUUCACGAUUGGUUAAAUGCUACGGGCCCUCUGACAAGAUGAAAAAAGUGAUACAUACCAUAGUAAAUAAAUGUUAUGUGAAACAGGAGGCAUAUAAUUAUGCACUAGUGUAUUAAAAUAUGGCUAGCAGUUCAAUUUAGGUACAACAAAUUGCUGUUUAAUUAGCUGCCCGUGGUUUACUCAGAAGAUGUAGAAAAAAUAAUAAAAAUCAAAAGCUGAUUUUAUUGUUAUUACUGGCUAAAUGGAAGAGCUAGGGUAUUACAGGUGAAUCUGUGUUCUUUUCCUGAUAAUUUUUGCAUGAGCAGGAUUAAAAAAUAGCUGGGAAUAUAUUUGUAAAUACACUAUGUGAUGUAAUAAGUCUAUUACACUUAAAAGGUAUGAACAAAACUUGAGAGACCAUAGCAGUAGUGCUGUUUGAACUUACAAUCUUAGCUUUGUUCUUUUUGACUAAUAUUUUCCUUUUGCUUAUGUAAAAUUGCAACAGAAUAAAUCCAAUGCAUAUGGACUUCACAUGAUGAAGUUGAGCCACUGCAGAAAUUAUUCUAAUCAGAUAGCAUAAAAUAGCGGUAAGGAAGACAGUGGGCUUUGAGCAGUAGAUAAAGAAAAGCUCAGAUGGAUUCAAAAUUAAAUAAAGCUUCUUCUUUUCUAGCUCAGGCUGAGAGAAAGCAUGGACCUAAGGAAUUUAAAUCAACGCCUAAACCCGAAUUGCAAACUCAAAACAUACUGGCUACUCAGAGUCCAACCUUGAAAUCUGUAUUUCUACCUUCAGCAGAAACCAGAAAGAUGGAGAUAGCUUUUGAUGAAACACAGCCUGUUUCUUCGAGAUUCAAAACAUCUGGUACCACAGAAGUGCAACCAACCAAGUCUGCUUCAUACGGUUUUCUUCAUGUUACUUCUACUCAAACUUUUACAGCUUCAGAAAUACCAGACACUGCUGGAUAUACUACUGAUCUGGAGAUAACCAUGCCUGUAGUUACCACAGAACCUCAUUUGUUAGAAACAACAUUGGAUUUAGGUGAAACGAAGCCUUUUUCUUCAAGAUCCAUAACAUCUGGCAUGCCAGAAAUGCCACCAGUCUCAGCUGCUACUCAGAGACCAAAGGUGAAGCCUUCUCCUCCUUCCAUUGCAAUCCAAGGGACAGUGGAGGCGACCCAGAGACGGGCUCCGGAAUCCACCUCGUCUGCUUCACCGGAAACCACGAGGACUGUGAUGGCUACCCGGCGACCAAGGCUGAAAUCUACCUCUUCUUCCCCCCUGGCGACCCAGCAAACAGUGACGGCUUCGAAUAACCUUCUUCAUGUUACUUCCACUUCCCAAAUAUCUGCAUCUGCAAAAAUGUCAGAGACAGAGACUGCUACCCAGGAGCCAGGCCUGGAAUUCACAUCUCUUCCCUCCAUGGAAACCACAGAGAGCGUGAUGGAUUUUAUUUCAGCUUUUGAUGAAAAGCAGCCUGUUUCUUCAAGAUCUGAAACAUCUGGCAUCCAAGAAAUGCUGUCAGCUGUACCUGGUAAUAGUUGAAAAUG
rnacentral:lncRNA from 1 species